AUGCAUGUAUGUAUGUAAGCAUGCAUGCAUGCAUGCAGGUAUGUGGGCAUGUAUAAAGGUAUCCGCACAUGUGUUCAUAGAUGCAUGCAUGCAGGUAUGUGGGCAUGUAUAAAGGUAUACGCACAUGUGUUCAUAGAUGCAUGCAUGCAUGUUUGCAUACAUGUAUAAUAUAAUAUGCAAACAUAAAACCACGUUGGAUUCUGCGAAAAGUGUGAAAGUGUGUAUCUUCGUAUAUAAAUUUGAACACGAAACGGCAUUUACAUUUCCACCAAGGAUGGUUGGAUGGGAUCAAGCGGAUGGAAUUUCCCAAAACCCCAUCAAAACGUGCACCUUUAGCACCAUCAGGAUAAGAAAAUGGCUAAUCGCGUGUUCUUCAUAUCGAAUAUAUACUGUAUGCGAAUAUUUUUGCUAGCCCGGUUUCCGGCUUUGGGCAGCUGCCUUAAACCCGUUUUGGCCAACUUUUUGGUUGUAUAUCAGUUAAAGUAGCAGCAGCCGCCGUUAAGAUUUGCACAAGGGUUGCGCGGGAAGACUGCGGGUGGCGGAUGGCGGGCGGGUGGACUGCGGGUGGCUGUACUGUUCUCUCACCUUCGCAC